GGAUAGAUCAUAAAAGAAGAGGUAUCUUAAUCGAAGAGGGCUGGAACGCCCUACCAUAGAAGGUAAUAGUCCUGUAGGUAAAAAGAGAAAACUUCGAGAUCUAAUCCAGAGUACCACGAGACACGUGAAACCUUGUGGGAAGCAGGGAGGACCACCUCCCAAGGCUAAAUACUACCUAGUGACCGAUAGUGAAGCAGUACCGUGAGGGAAAGGUGAAAAAGAACCCCGGAAGGGGAGUGAAAUAGAACCUGAAACCGUGUGCCUACAACCGAUCGGAGCACGUUAAAGUGUGACGAUGUGCUUUUGUAGAACGAGCCAGCGAGUUACGCUAUGUAGCAAGGUUAAGUACUUAAGGUAUGGAGCCGAAGGGAAACCGAGUCUGAAAAGGGCGAAAAGUUGCAUGGUGUAGACCCGAAACCGGGUGACCUAUCCAUGGCCAGGUUGAAGCGAGAGUAAAAUCUCGUGGAGGACCGAACCACGUUGGUGUUGAAAAACCAUGGGAUGAGCUGUGGAUAGCGGAGAAAUUCCAAUCGAACUCGGAGAUAGCUGGUUCUCCUCGAAAUAGCUUUAGGGCUAGCGUCGUGUAAUU
rnacentral:rRNA from 1 species